CCCCGAAGCGCUAUAUCCUGAUGGUGCUGUUUAUUCGCCGCGCUGUCACAAGCUAACACAUCUUUCUGUUGACUCAGUAACAAACCUGCGGCGGCAGAGAGCUCACGGCGAGGCUGUUGUCACUUACCGUGGUCGUAACUUGCGUGUAGUCAAGUAAAAAAUCAUCCAUGUAGGUGAUAUUUGGGAUUUUUGAACACGGCAGGUGAGGUGAGCAUAGCUCUCCGUCACCAAGACUACAAGAGCUCCUAAAUCACUUCGCCACACCGCAGCGAUGUAAGCGUCACGUUACAGCCCAGCAUACAACCGACAGGUUGCUGUUGGAGACCAUGGAAAAGUUGCUUGAGGAGACAUACACAGACAUGCUGGGGUGCUCGAUGAGCAGGUCCUCCAUCGGGCUGGCCUCCGCAGUGGCUCCUUCUGCAGUGAAACAGGGGGGAGGGGUGACAAACCAGCUCUCAUCCAUGCAGCCUCUCUCUGGGCCUGCCCUACUGCUACCCCCACUGCCCCCACACUCACUUCCAGAGCCAGGGGACAUUGACGGGGUGGAAGAAGGCGUGGAUAGUCUGGCCCGUCUUGGCUGGGUCACGGGUGUAGCGGCACCCAUGUCUGACGGGCUAGCGCUUGGACAAGACAAGGGGUCUGAUGAUGCUGCAGCACCUCGUGCCCGACCUUUAUGCGUCCUACGGCGCUUAUGAGGCACGUGGGGAACAGGGGCUGGGCAUUCAGUCCUUGUAUGUGUAUCUUGAUGAUUUGAUUGGUUACUAUCAGGAAAUAAUUGUGCAGUCAGCGGGGCUCCCGUCUCGUCCUCUGCCUGCAUCAUGCAUUCAGAGUCUUCUGAGCACAUGGCAGCGAUGAGAUCAGGGAUGAGACGGCCAAUAAAGACCGAUGUUUAAGGUUGGAGGUUGCAAAAAUUAUGCAAAUGUGGUUUAUUUUUCAAAAAAGCCAUGCGGGAUGAAAGGGGCAAUUUUUCAGGGAUCACAUACGCACGCGCACGCAUACCAGUAUGGGGAAUGUAAAGGUUUUUAAAAAAAUUGGAGGAGGGGAAGAAGAGGUAAGGAAACACAAAACAUAAAAGAGUCACAUCAUUAGUUGUGUUGACCCUCUAAGGUUUUGAUUAUGUCAGUGACAUAAUGUUCGUCUCGACUCUACUGCGAGGUACUUUUAUGUUGCUUUUGAUGUUUGGUUGGCUUCUGAACAGGCACCGAAGCAAAUUGACAAACUCACUAAUUGCCUUUGUCAUGAUUGAGAUCAUAAACAAAGAGGAAGGAGAUGUAUGUUCACACAGAAUAAUGUGUUUCCAUCAUUUGACAGACAACACUUUUGGUGUGGCAGCCAUAUGGGUGACCAUCAGCAUGACUCCUCACCUCACCCCAUCAUCUUCCCAUCAAUACUUCACUACACUUCAAAUGUUAGUCAGUAUUAUAGACAUGCAAGAGUGAACAGAAGUAUUUCUCAGCUAGCUUAAUCUUUGAACAUAAAACACAAUUUGACUAGCUCCCAAUGGCUGUAAAAUGUCACACUGAAAUAUCCAGGCCACCACUGCUCUUGAGACUCACCAGGCAGGUUGACGAGCAUCCAUCCCUCCUCGUCGGCCUCCGUCACACAGGGGUUGGGUCCCUUCAGCUCAGCUGCCACCUCUUCCACCUCCCCAAACAACAGGUUGCUCAGACGCUGAAACAUGACUGCUUGUGUCAAGUGUUGAUGACUUGGGUGCUUUUUGUCGUCCACAAAGAAAAAGCUGUAGCUGCCUUUUUGAGUUCUUAGUUGAGUUUACUUAUCGCUUGCUGCUUGUUGUUGUUUUGUUUUUUUUCAAUUGAAGCCCUUUGCUGGAUCUUGGUUUUGACAAACAGGAGUGGACAGGCUUCUGUAGUGCAAAUGUAAGGUUUCACUUGGUUUGGAGCAAAGGCCUGGAGAGAAAGAGAGAGAGAGAGAGAGAGAGAGAGAGAAAAGAGGGUGGUUAGGUUAUGAGGUGCCUCACUGUCAACACAUUUUCUUAUUAAAGACAUCUAAAAAAAGAAGUCACAUUUGGGUUAGUUUGCUACUGCUUAGUCAGGGUGCAUUAGAUAAGCACAAUAAGUGAGCAAUGUGCGUGGUAAGAGCUUUCUCUGGUAUAUUUCAAGUCACAUUACAACAGGUUGGAAAUGUUUUUUGCGCCCAAACCUCAAAGCAUUUUGACCUGGCCUGUAAUGACAUGUUGACACAAACACUGUGUAAUUAAAAGCAGAAUCUGCUUAUAUUAAAGUUUCCACACUAACACUGCUGGUUAGAUUGCAUAUUAGAUUCUCAAAUUCAGCUUCCAGUUACCAAUUCUGUGCACAGAGUUUUUUUUAAAUUUCUAUCUUGUGGCUGUUAUCCUGCAUGUAAUGAUUUUUUGGCCACUUGGGGGUAGUACAACAAGCUGUUUACACAUCCAUGAGAGAAUAUUAUCAUUCAUUUGUGUUGUUUUUUUCUGGCCAACUGAACAAUAUACUGUAAGUGCAAUAAUUUAGUUUUGAGCAAAUUUUAAUGUUAAAAUAUUGUUUAUAACAGCUUUAAUGCUGGAUAACUGCAUUUUUGUACUUAAUUCAAUGGGAUUUGAAUGGGUCAAACACAACAGACAGGAGAAUGUACAGCAGAUCCUCAAAUGAAGUGAAAUAAAUUAUGAAUCAUGAAAUUUCAA